rnacentral:rRNA from 1 species
GAUGAACGCUGGCGGCGUGCCUAAUACAUGCAAGUCGAGCGAACGGACGAGAAGCUUGCUUCUCUGAUGUUAGCGGCGGACGGGUGAGUAACACGUGGAUAACCUACCUAUAAGACUGGGAUAACUUCGGGAAACCGGAGCUAAUACCGGAUAAUAUUUUGCACCGCAUGGUUCAAAAGUGAAAUACGGUCUUGCUGUCACUUAUAGAUUUAUCCGCGCUGCAUUAGCUAGUUGGUAAGGUAACGGCUUACCAAGGCAACGAUGCAUAGCCGACCUGAGAGGGUGAUGGGACACACUGGAACUGAGAAACGGUACAGACUCCGACGGGAGGCAGCAGUAGGGAAUCUUCCGCAAUGGGCGAAAGCCUGACGGAGCAACGCCGCGUGAGUGAUGAAGGUCUUCGGAUCGUAAAACUCUGUUAUUAGGGAAGAACAUAUGUGUAAGUAACUGUGCACAUCUUGACGGUACCUAAUCAGAAAGCCACGGCUAACUACGUG